rnacentral:rRNA from 1 species
UACGUAGGUGUCUAGCGUUGUCCGGAAUUAUUGGGCGUAAAGAGCUCUUAGGCGGUUCGGCAAGGCGGAUGUGAAAUCUCCACGCUUAACGUGGAGGGGCCAUUCGAAACUGCCGUGACUCGAGUCCGGUAGGGGAGUUCGGAAUUCCCGGUGUAGCGGUGAAAUGCGCAGAUAUCGGGAGGAACACCAGCGGCGAAGGCGGCUUUCUGGACCAAUACUGACGCUGAGACGCGAAAGCGUGGGGAGCAAACAGG